AGAGUUUGAUCCUGGCUCAGGAUGAACGCUGGCGGCGUGCUUAACACAUGCAAGUCGAACGGACUUAAUAUGAAACCUAGUGAUUAUUAAGUUAGUGGCGGACGGGUGAGUAACGCGUGGGUAACCUGCCGUAUACCGGGGGAUAACACUUAGAAAUAGGUGCUAAUACCGCAUAAGCGCACAGGAUCGCAUGAUCCGGUGUGAAAAACUCCGGUGGUAUAUGAUGGACCCGCGUCUGAUUAGCCAGUUGGCAGGGUAACGGCCUACCAAAGCGACGAUCAGUAGCCGGCCUGAGAGGGUGAACGGCCACAUUGGGACUGAGACACGGCCCAAACUCCUACGGGAGGCAGCAGUGGGGGAUAUUGCACAAUGGGGGAAACCCUGAUGCAGCGACGCCGCGUGAGUGAAGAAGUAUUUCGGUAUGUAAAGCUCUAUCAGCAGGGACGAAAAUGACGGUACCUGAGUAAGAAGCCCCGGCUAACUACGUGCCAGCCGCCGCGGUAAUAC
rnacentral:rRNA from 1 species